rnacentral:rRNA from 1 species
CUAAGGUAGCAAAAUCAUUUGUUGCUUAAUUGGUAACUGGAAUGAAAGGUUAAACUAAUCUAUUAAGUUUGUUAUUCUAUUUAAGAAUUUAAAGUUAAGGUAAGAAUUCUUUAAUUUUCUAAGGGACGAUAAGACCCUAGAAGCUUAACAAAUAGUAGUGUUUGUUUUAGAAGUCUGUUUGUUUUACUGGGGCGGUAAAGAUAAUUAAGCUAUUUACUAUUUAGAUGAUCCUUAAGAUAUAGAUAAAAUGGAUAAGUUACUCUAGGGAUAA